rnacentral:lncRNA from 1 species
AUAACCAUUUAACUGUUAACACAGGCAUCCUGCAGACCUGAAGAAACAAAAAAAUGGACAGCAAAAUAUCAUAAACCAGAAUGAAACCUAUAGAGAAGACAUGGAAAAGAUGUUGAACCAUACGGCAAUUUUGAAAAAAAUGCACAAACCAAGGUCAUAACCAACCAGAAAUGUCAUGAAUACCAAGCCAUGGAGUAUGUUGACUUACCAUGGUGAUAAAACCAUCAAAAUUUGUCCAAAUAGAAUUACACUUGCUGCACCUACAACAUGAGGUUUGCAUCAUAUCGUACCAUGGCCUGGACCCUAGAUCUUUCCUGGAGCCGUCACUGCAGUUUAGUUCACAAAUGAAGCCCACCAUAUCCAACACCAGUCC